rnacentral:rRNA from 1 species
GAUGAACGCUGGCGGCGUGCCUAAUACAUGCAAGUCGAGCGAACAGAUGAGGUGUUUGCUCCUCUGACGUUAGCGGCGGAUGGGUGAGUAACAAGUGGAUAACCUAUCUAUUAGACUGGGAUAAGUUCGGGACACCGGAGCUAAUACCGGAUAACAUAUUGAACUGCAUGGUUCUAUAGUGAAAGACGGUUUUGCUGUUACUUAUAGAUGGUUCCGCGCCGCAGUAGCUAGUUGGUAAGGUAACGGCUUACCAAGGCAACGAUGCGUAGCCGACCUGAGAGGGUGAUCGGCCACACUGGAACUGAGACACGGUCCAGACUCCUACGGGAGGCAGAAGUAGGGAAGCUUCCGCAAUGGGCGAAAGCCUGACGGAGCAACGCCGCGGGAGUGAUGAAGGUCUUCGGAUCGUAAAACUCUGUUAUUAGGGAAGAACAAAUGUGUAAGUAACUAUGCACGUCGUGACGGUACCUAAUCAGAAAGCCACGGCUAACUACGUG